CUAAAUACCUAAAACACAAAAGAACGUGGUUCUCUUCUGGUUCAUCCCCAAAACCAAAUCCCAAAGCCGACAAUGGAUCGCGAUCUCGAACAAGAGAUAUGUUCCCUCGAGGAUUCAGGAAGAAAGGUACCAUCCAUCUCUCCACCUACCUUCGAAGCUUGGGCGCAAAUUAACGAUGCAGAAGACCAAGGAUAUGCAAGAUAUGAGAAACUGUUAUGAUGGAUUAUAAUCAGCAGCUGCCGCAACCGCAAAUAGUAUAUAUGGAACGUCACGAAACGCGCCAUUAGCGUCGAGAUGAACAAACAGCCAAACAGGUAUCACUUUAGUUUCUUUAGAUUUAGGCAAACAAGAAUGCUGUGUCCGGUGACAGCAGUGCUUUGGCCCUGGGAGGUGUUCGUAUCGGUAUAAAUGGUGUUUUUUAAGUUUUUUAUUCGAUUUUAAUUUUAUUUUUUGUGUGUUUUGAUUGAAUAUAAAUGGUUUUUGGUUAGGUACACAUGCUAUGAACUCAAGGGGUUUAGUUGAGAAAAGGAGGCGUAAAUAGAGAGGAUGGGUCAAUAAUGGAAGAGGCGUAAACAAAGAGAAUGGGUUAAUAAUGGAAGAGAUUGUGGCGACCCGCUUUGGCUGGAUUAAUAGCAGGUGCAAGGAGUUGAAAUGUGGCUGGGAAGUUUGGAAGAUAGAUCCUUGUAACAGUUUUUUUUUUUUUUUUUUUUUUUUGUAACAUGUAGGCUGUGUGUUUUUUAGCCUUACUGCAGUGUCGUUUUGUUUUUUUUCUUCUGAUUCCAGCACUUCGCUGGUCUUCCUUUUUAAUAACAUGUUGUUGUUCUCGAGACUCUUGUACUAUAUCUUGUAUACUAUGAAGUGGUUAUCUUAUAUAA